AUUGAACGCUGGCGGCAGGCCUAACACAUGCAAGUCGAGCGGAUGACGGGAGCUUGCUCCUUGAUUCAGCGGCGGACGGGUGAGUAAUGCCUAGGAAUCUGCCUGGUAGUGGGGGACAACGUUUCGAAAGGAACGCUAAUUCCGCAUACGUCCUACGGGAGAAAGCAGGGGACCUUCGGGCCUUGCGCUAUCAGAUGAGCCUAGGUCGGAUUGGCUAGUUGGUGGGGUAAUGGCUCACCAAGGCGACGAUCCGUAACUGGUCUGAGAGGAUGAUCAGUCACACUGGAACUGAGACACGGUCCAGAUUCCUACGGGAGGCAGCAGUGGGGAAUAUUGGACAAUGGGCGAAAGCCUGAUCCAGCCAUGCCGCGUGUGUGAAGAAGGUCUUCGGAUUGUAAAGCACUUUAAGUUGGGAGGAAGGGCAGUAAGCUAAUACCUUGCUGUUUUGACGUUACCGACAGAAUAAGCACCGGCUAACUCUGUGCCAGCCGCCGCCGUAA
rnacentral:rRNA from 1 species